GACGAACGCUGGCGGCGUGCUUAACACAUGCAAGUCGAACGGAAAGACCCUGCUUUUGUGGGGUGCUCGAGUGGCGAACGGGUGAGUAACACGUGAGUAACCUGCCCUUGACUUUGGGAUAACUUCAGGAAACUGGGGCUAAUACCGGAUAGGAGCUCCUGCUGCAUGGUGGGGGUUGGAAAGUUUCGGCGGUUGGGGAUGGACUCGCGGCUUAUCAGCUUGCUGGUGGGGUAGUGGCUUACCAAGGCUUUGACGGGUAGCCGGCCUGAGAGGGUGACCGGCCACAUUGGGACUGAGAUACGGCCCAGACUCCUACGGGAGGCAGCAGUGGGGAAUAUUGCACAAUGGGCGGAAGCCUGAUGCAGCAACGCCGCGUGCGGGAUGACGGCCUUCGGGUUGUAAACCGCUUUCGCCUGUGACGAAGCGUGAGUGACGGUAAUGGGUAAAGAAGCACCGGCUAACUACGUG
rnacentral:rRNA from 1 species